GUGCCUAACACAUGCAAGUCGAACGAGAAAGUCCCCGCAAGGGGAUGAGUACAGUGGCGAACGGGUGAGUAACACGUGACUAACCUGCCUUCGAGUGGGGGAUAACUCCGGGAAACCGGGGCUAAGACCGCAUAACAUCUCCGGGAUGCAAUGCCCGGAGUCAAAGGGGUAAGACGCUUGAAGAGGGGGUCGCGGCUGAUUAGUUAGUUGGCGGGGUAACGGCCCACCAAGACGAUGAUCAGUAGCCGGCCUGAGAGGGCGCACGGCCACACUGGAACUGAAACACGGUCCAG
rnacentral:rRNA from 1 species